rnacentral:rRNA from 1 species
CGCGCAGGCGGUUCUUCAAGUCAGAGGUGAAAGCCCAGAGCUCAACUCUGGAAUGGCCUUUGAGACUAGAGGACUUGGGUACGGGAGAGGUGAGUGGAAUUCCGAGUGUAGAGGUGAAAUUCGUAGAUAUUCGGAAGAACACCAGUGGCGAAGGCGGCUCACUGGCCCGUUACCGACGCUCAGGCGCGACAGCGUGGGGAGCAAACAGGGUUAGAUACCCUGGUAGUCCACGCCGUAAACGAUGGAUGCUAGCCGUUGGUAAGCAUGCUUAUCAGUGGCGCAGCUAACGCCUUAAGCAUCCCGCCUGGGGAGUACGGCCGCAAGGUUGAA